rnacentral:ncRNA from 18 species
AUUGCAUAUUUCCGUAUGGAUGCCGAAAGGCCAUGAGGGAAGCCGGUGCGAAUCCGGCGCGGUCCCGCCACUGUGAAGCGGAGCGAGUUCCAAAAGCCACUGGGAAACCGGGAAGGCGGAGCAAGCGAUGAUGCGAAGUCAGGAGACCUGUCCAUAUGCAGCACCCGUCA